rnacentral:rRNA from 1 species
GACGAACGCUGGCGGCGUGCUUAACACAUGCAAGUCGAACGGAAAGGCCUGCUUUCCCUUGUGGAUUGCGGGUACUCGAGUGGCGAACGGGUGAGUAACACGUGAGUGAUCUGCCCCCAACUUGGGUAUAAGCCUGGGAAACUGGGUCUAAUUCCCGAUAGGACUGCAGGGUGGUGCCUGUGGUGGAAAACGAUUUUCUAGUGGUUGGGGAUGAGCUCGCGGCCUAUCAGCUUGUUGGUGGGGAAAUGGCCUACCAAGGCGGCGACGGGUAGCGGGCUGAGAGGGUGGACGGCCACAUUGGGACUGAGAUACGGCCCAGACUCCUACGGGAGGCAGCAGUGGGGAAUAUUGCACAAUGGGCGGAAGCCUGAUGCAGCGACGCCGCGUGGGGGAUGACGGCCUUCGGGUUGUAAACUCCUUUCGACCGCGAGGAAGCCACCUGGUUGGAAGGGUGGUGACGGUAGUGGUAGAAGAAGCACCGGCUAACUACGUG